UUAUUUUGAGUUAGAUAAUCGAUUGUUCAAUUGAUUUAUCAAUGCUUUGGUCAGUUAUGUAUUACUUGAUGAUUUGAGAACUUCAUUUUGAUUUCAUUUUUAAUUGGCAAGCAUUAUAUGAACUUUUAGCAUAUGGAAAAUCCUUUUAAGGUGCAUGCUUAGUAUAUGAACUUUUAGCAUAUGGUGACCCUUUACAACAAUUGUGGAAAUCUGGGCUUUGCCCUCAGAUGAGAGCCAGGACGAUCCUACUGGUUCAUACCCUACGGAUGGGAAUGCUUGACUGCAGCUACGUUAGGAGGAUCUCACGGGGCGCGUGGAGAUCACUCAGGGUGUAUAGUUUUUGGUAGGAUGAUCAGAUUAAGUUGAUGUAUAGGGACUAGACGUCCUUCUUUUUGGGUUGGAG
rnacentral:lncRNA from 1 species